GAUGAACGCUAGCUACAGGCUUAACACAUGCAAGUCGAGGGGCAGCAUGGUCUUAGCUUGCUAAGGCCGAUGGCGACCGGCGCACGGGUGAGUAACACGUAUCCAACCUGCCGUCUACUCUUGGACAGCCUUCUGAAAGGAAGAUUAAUACAAGAUGGCAUCAUGAGUUCACAUGUUCACAUGAUUAAAGGUAUUCCGGUAGACGAUGGGGAUGCGUUCCAUUAGAUAGUAGGCGGGGUAACGGCCCACCUAGCCUUCGAUGGAUAGGGGUUCUGAGAGGAAGGUCCCCCACAUUGGAACUGAGACACGGUCCAAACUCCUACGGGAGGCAGCAGUGAGGAAUAUUGGUCAAUGGGCGAGAGCCUGAACCAGCCAAGUAGCGUGAAGGAUGACUGCCCUAUGGGUGGUAAACUUCUUUUAUAAAGGAAUAAAGUCGGGUAUGUAUACCCGUUUGCAUGUACUUUAUGAAUAAGGAUCGGCUAACUCCGUG
rnacentral:rRNA from 1 species